rnacentral:rRNA from 1 species
AACGAACGCUGGCGGCAUGCCUAACACAUGCAAGUCGAACGAGACCUUCGGGUCUAGUGGCGCACGGGUGCGUAACGCGUGGGAACCUGCCCUUAGGUUCGGAAUAACUCCCCGAAAGGGGUGCUAUACCCGGUUAAUGUUUUGGGCCAAAGGAUUUAUCGCCUUUGGAUGGGCCCGCGUUGGAUUAGCUAGUUGGUAGGGUAAAAGCCUACCAAGGCGACGUUCCAUAGCUGGUCUGAGAGGAUGAUCAGCCACACUGGGACUGAGACACGGCCCAGACUCCUACGGGAGGCAGCAGUGGGGAAUAUUGGACAAUGGGCGAAAGCCUGAUCCAGCAAUGCCGCGUGAGUGAUGAAGGCCUUAGGGUUGUAAAGCUCUUUUACCCGGGAUGAUAAUGACAGUACCGGGAGAAUAAGCUCCGGCUAACUCCGUG